UGCUACCAUGCAGUCGAACGGCAGCACAGCAGAGCUUGCUCUGUGGGUGGCGAGUGGCGGACGGGUGAGUAAUGCAUCGGGACCUACCCAGACGUGGGGGAUAACGUAGGGAAACUUACGCUAAUACCGCAUACGUCCUACGGGAGAAAGCGGGGGACCUUCGGGCCUCGCGCGGUUGGAUGGACCGAUGUUCGAUUAGCUAGUUGGUAGGGUAAUGGCCUACCAAGGCGACGAUCGAUAGCUGGUCUGAGAGGAUGAUCAGCCACACUGGGACUGAGACACGGCCCAGACUCCUACGGGAGGCAGCAGUGGGGAAUAUUGGACAAUGGGCGCAAGCCUGAUCCAGCAAUGCCGCGUGUGUGAAGAAGGCCUUCGGGUUGUAAAGCACUUUUAUCAGGAGCGAAAUACUAUCGGUUAAUAACCGGUGGGGCUGACGGUACCUGAGGAAUAAGCACCGGCUAACUUCGUGCCAGCAGCCGCGGUAAUACGAAGGGUGCAAGCGUUAAUCGGAAUUACUGGGCGUAAAGGGUGCGUAGGCGGUUAGUUAAGUCUGUUGUGAAAUCCCCGGGCUCAACCUGGGAAUGGCAAUGGAUACUGGCUAGCUAGAGUGUGUCAGAGGAUGGUGGAAUUCCCGGUGUAGCGGUGAAAUGCGUAGAGAUCGGGAGGAACAUCAGUGGCGAAGGCGGCCAUCUGGGACAACACUGACGCUGAAGCACGAAAGCGUGGGGAGCAAACAGGAUUAGAUACCCUGGUAGUCCACGCCCUAAACGAUGCGAACUGGAUGUUGGUCUCAACUCGGAGAUCAGUGUCGAAGCUAACGCGUUAAGUUCGCCGCCUGGGGGAGUACGGUCGCAAGACUGAAACUCAAAGGAAUUGACGGGGGCCCGCACAAGCGGUGGAAGUAUGUGGUUUAAUUCGAUGCAACGCGAAGAACCUUACCUGGCCCUUGACAUGUCCGGAAUCCAGCAGAGAAUGCAGGAGUGCCUUCGGGAAUCGGAAACACAGGUGCUUGCAUGGCUGUCGUUCAGCCUCGUGUCGUGAAGAUGGUUGGGGUUAAGUCCCCGCAACGAAGCGGCAACCCUUUGGUCCUUAGUUUGCCAGCAACCGUAAUGGGUGGGGAAACUCUUAAGGAAAACUGGCCGGUG
rnacentral:rRNA from 1 species